GCAGCAGUAGGGAAUCUUCCGCAAUGGGCGAAAGCCUGACGGAGCAACGCCGCGUGAGUGAUGAAGGUCUUCGGAUCGUAAAACUCUGUUAUCAGGGAAGAACAAACGUGUAAGUAACUGUGCACGUCUUGACGGUACCUGAUCAGAAAGCCACGGCUAACUACGUGCCAGCAGCCGCGGUAAUACGUAGGUGGCAAGCGUUAUCCGGAAUUAUUGGGCGUAAAGCGCGCGUAGGCGGUUUUUUAAGUCUGAUGUGAAAGCCCACGGCUCAACCGUGGAGGGUCAUUGGAAACUGGAAAACUUGAGUGCAGAAGAGGAAAGUGGAAUUCCAUGUGUAGCGGUGAAAUGCGCAGAGAUAUGGAGGAACACCAGUGGCGAAGGCGACUUUCUGGUCUGUAACUGACGCUGAUGUGCGAAAGCGUGGGGAUCAAACAGGAUUAGAUACCC
rnacentral:rRNA from 1 species